rnacentral:rRNA from 1 species
CCUACGGGAGGCAGCAGUGAGGAAUAUUGGUCAAUGGGCGCGAGCCUGAACCAGCCAAGUCGCGUGAGGGAAGACGGUCCUAUGGAUUGUAAACCUCUUUUGUCGGGGAGCAAAAGACGCCACGCGUGGCGUUCCGCGCGUACCCGAAGAAAAAGCAUCAGCGAACCCCGUGCCAGCAGCCGCGGUAAUCCGGAGGAUGCGAGCGUUAUCCGGAUUUAUUGGGUUUAAAGGGUGCGCUGGCGGAAGAUCAAGUCAGCGGUCCAAUUGAGAGGCUCAACCUCUUCGAGCCGUUGAAACUGGUUUUCUUGAGUGAGUGAGAAGUAUGCGGAAUGCGUGGUGUAGCGGUGAAAUGCAUAGAUAUCACGCAGAACUCCGAUUGCGAAGGCAGCAUACCGGAGCGCAACUGACGCUCAUGCACGAAAGUGUGGGUAUCGAACAGGAUUAGAUACCCCUGUAGUC